rnacentral:rRNA from 1 species
AAUGAACGCUGGCGGCAGGCCUAACACAUGCAAGUCGAGCGGGGUUUUCGGGCUUAGUGGCGCACGGGUGCGUAACGCGUGGGAAUCUGCCCUUGGGUUCGGAAUAACAGUUAGAAAUGACUGCUAAUACCGGAUGAUGUCUUCGGACCAAAGAUUUAUCGCCCAGGGAUGAGCCCGCGUAGGAUUAGGUAGUUGGUGGGGUAAGAGCCUACCAAGCCGACGAUCCUUAGCUGGUCUGAGAGGAUGAUCAGCCACACUGGGACUGAGACACGGCCCAGACUCCUACGGGAGGCAGCAGUGGGGAAUAUUGGACAAUGGGCGAAAGCCUGAUCCAGCAAUGCCGCGUGAGUGAUGAAGGCCUUAGGGUUGUAAAGCUCUUUUACCCGGGAUGAUAAUGACAGUACCGGGAGAAUAAGCUCCGGCUAACUUCGUGCCAGCCGCCGCCGUAAGAC